rnacentral:ncRNA from 1 species
CGUAAAUUUUCAGGAGAGAUUUUUUUGCAAGGUUGGUUUUUAUUAAAACCGAGCGAUGAUAAUUUAAAAUAUUAAGCGAAAAAACACCGAAGGCGUAAAUUACCCUACAAUCGCUCAGGUAAAAGGACUGAAAAAUUUAG